UCUAAUGUGGCAGAUUGUAAUGCAAUGGAUUUAAGCUCCAUUUAUAAGAGUUCAAUUCUCUUUUUUAGAA
rnacentral:tRNA from 1 species